rnacentral:rRNA from 1 species
GACGAACGCUGGCGGCGUGCCUAAUACAUGCAAGUCGAACGGUCUUUUCUAUGGAAGCUUGCUUCCGCUGAGAAGAUAGUGGCGAACGGGUGAGUAACACGUGGGUAACCUGCCCAUAAGAGGGGGAUAACAUCCGGAAGGGGGUGCUAAUACCGCAUAGUUUUCUUGAUCGCAUGAUUGAGAAAGGAAAGACGGCCUUUGUGCUGUCGCUUAUGGAUGGACCCGCGGCGUAUUAGUUAGUUGGUGAGGUAACGGCUCACCAAGACGAUGAUACGUAGCCGACCUGAGAGGGUGAUCGGCCACAUUGGGACUGAGACACGGCCCAAACUCCUACGGGAGUCAGCAGUAGGGAAUCUUCCGCAAUGGACGAAAGUCUGACGGAGCAACGCCGCGUGAGUGAAGAAGGUUUUCGGAUCGUAAAACUCUGUUGUCAGAGAAGAACAAGUCGGAGAGUAACUGCUCCGGCCUUGACGGUAUCUGACCAGAAAGCCACGGCUAACUACGUGCCAGCCGCCGCGGUAAGAC